rnacentral:rRNA from 1 species
UAAGCGGAGGAAAGAAACUAACAAGGAUUCCCCUAGUAACGGCGAGUGAAGUGGGAAAAGCUCAACUUUGUAAUCUGGCAGCUUCGCUGUCCGACUUGUAGUCUCGAGAAGUGUUUUCCGCGUUGGAUCGUGUAUGAGUCUGUUGGAAUACAGCGUCAUAGAGGGUGAGAACCCCGUUCAUGACACGACUACCAAUGCUUUGUGAUACACUUUCGAUGAGUCGAGUUGUUUGGGAAUGCAGCUCAAAAUGGGUGGUAAAUUCCAUCUAAAGCUAAAUAUUGGUGAGAGACCGAUAGCAAACAAGUACCGUGAGGGAAAGAUGAAAAGCACUUUGGAAAGAGAGUUAAAAGUACGUGAAAUUGUUGAAAGGGAAACGCUUGAAGUCAGACGUGCGCGAUAUUUAUAUCACUGCAGGCCAGCAUCGGUUUUAUUAGCCGGAUAAAGGUAUAAGAAAGGUGGCAGUCUCGGCUGUGUUAUAGUCUUAUACUGAAUACGGAAGGUGAGACCGAGGGACGCAGCGCGCCGUAAGGCAAAGGAUUCGUCCUUUUCGCGCUUAGGAUGCUGGUGAAAUGGCUUUAAUCGACCCGUCUUGAAACACGGACC